rnacentral:rRNA from 1 species
AACGUAGGAGGCAAGCGUUAUCCGGAGUUACUGGGCGUAAAGGGCGCGUAGGCGGCUUUGCAAGUGGCGGGUGAAAUCCCUCGGCUUAACCGAGGAACUGCCUGCCAGACUGCAUGGCUUGAGACCGGGAGAGGUGAGUGGAAUUCCCAGUGUAGCGGUGAAAUGCGUAGAUAUUGGGAAGAACACCAGUGGCGAAGGCGGCUCACUGGACCGGUACUGACGCUGAGGCGCGAAAGCGUGGGGAGCAAACAGG